rnacentral:rRNA from 1 species
CACGUAGGGGGCAAGCGUUGUCCGGAUUCAUUGGGCGUAAAGAGCUCGUAGGCGGUUCGAUAAGUCGGGUGUGAAACCUCCAGGCUCAACCUGGAGACGCCACCCGAUACUGUCGUGACUAGAGUCCAGUAGGGGAGCGUGGAAUUCCUGGUGUAGCGGUGAAAUGCGUAGAUAUCUGGAGGAACACCGGUGGCGAAGGCGACUCUUUGGCCUGUAACUGACGCUGAGGCGCGAAAGCGUGGGGAGCAACAGG